rnacentral:rRNA from 1 species
UACGUAGGGUGCAAGCGUUGUCCGGAAUUAUUGGGCGUAAAGAGCUCGUAGGCGGUUUGUCGCGUCUGCUGUGAAAACCCGAGGCUCAACCUCGGGCCUGCAGUGGGUACGGGCAGACUAGAGUGCGGUAGGGGAGAUUGGAAUUCCUGGUGUAGCGGUGGAAUGCGCAGAUAUCAGGAGGAACACCGAUGGCGAAGGCAGAUCUCUGGGCCGUACCUGACGAUGAGGAGCGAAAGCAUGGGGAGCGAACAGG